AUUGAACGCUGGCGGCAUGCUUUACACAUGCAAGUCGAACGGCAGCGGGGGCUUCGGCCUGCCGGCGAGUGGCGAACGGGUGAGUAAUACAUCGGAACGUGCCCGAUCGUGGGGGAUAACGGAGCGAAAGCUUUGCUAAUACCGCAUACGAUCUACGGAUGAAAGCGGGGGAUCUUCGGACCUCGCGCGGACGGAGCGGCCGAUGGCAGAUUAGGUAGUUGGUGGGAUAAAAGCUUACCAAGCCGACGAUCUGUAGCUGGUCUGAGAGGAUGAUCAGCCACACUGGGACUGAGACACGGCCCAGACUCCUACGGGAGGCAGCAGUGGGGAAUUUUGGACAAUGGGCGCAAGCCUGAUCCAGCCAUGCCGCGUGCAGGAUGAAGGCCUUCGGGUUGUAAACUGCUUUUGUACGGAACGAAAAGGUGCCUUCUAAUAAAGGGCGCUCAUGACGGUACCGUAAGAAUAAGCACCGGCUAACUACGUGC
rnacentral:rRNA from 1 species